UACGUAGGGUGCAAGCGUUGUUCGGAUUUACUGGGCGUAAAGGGCACGUAGGCGGCGCGUAAAGUCGGACAUGAAAUCAUUGGGCUUAACCCAAUGGCUGUGCCCGAUACUUGCGUGCUUAGAGUGCGGGAGAGGCAAUCGGAAUUCUCGGUGUAGCGGUGAAAUGCGUAGAUAUCGAGAGGAACUCCAGUGACGAAGGUGGGUUGCUGGACCGACACUGACGCUGAGGCGCGAAAGCUAGGGGAGCAAACGGG
rnacentral:rRNA from 1 species